rnacentral:rRNA from 1 species
GAUGAACGCUGGCGGCGUGCCUAAUACAUGCAAGUCGAGCGAACAGACGAGGAGCUUGCUCCUCUGACGUUAGCGGCGGACGGGUGAGUAACACGUGGAUAACCUACCUAUAAGACUGGGAUAACUUCGGGAAACCGGAGCUAAUACCGGAUCAUAUAUUGAACCGCAUGGUUCAAUAGUGAAAGACGGUUUUGCCGUCACAUAUAGAUGGAUCCGCGCCGCAUUAGCUAGUUGGUAAGGUUACGGCCUACCAAGGCAACGAUGCGUAGCCGACCUGAGGGGGUGAUCGGCCACACUGGAACUGGGACACGGUCCAGACUCCUACGGGAGGCAGCAGUAGGGAAUCUUCCGCAAUGGGCGGAAGCCUGACGGAGCAACGCCGCGUGAGUGAUGAAGGGCUUCGGAUCGUAAAACUCUGUUAUUAGGGAAGAACAAAUGUGUAAGUAACUAUGCACGUCUUUACGGUACCUAAUCAGAAAGCCACGGCUAACUACGUU